rnacentral:lncRNA from 1 species
CCCAAAUGUCCAAGUGUCUGCUAGGCCCCAGGAAAGCAGUCUGUCUGAUGUGAAACGGAAGAGGGCUGGAAAGCUGAAGCAGCGGGGACCGAAGCAGAGUGCCCCUCCCCCCAAGAUCGGGGACCUGGGGACACCUGCUAUGCAGACUCCCUCUGAAAUCAGUGCCACCCCAAGGCCUAAGUCCCCUGGGAAAGCCAAAAAGAGAGAGGAAGUAAAGCAGGAGUUACCAGAGCAGCCUGCCAAGGGAACUGCUUCCCUGAAAGAAGACGCUGCCCCCAAGAGACCCUCUGCCCCCACCACGGCUCACCACAGUUCCACCAGGCCCCCACCGGCAAAGAGGAGGAAAUCUAUGACCAAGGGCAGCAGCCAGCCACUGUUGUCUUAAAUGGACUUGGAAACUCACUGACACCGUCUCUGGAUUGAACUGUUAGAUCCUGUUGCAAGAAUGGCCUCCCCUGUGCAUACAUAUGAAACUUAAUAUACAUAUUACCACCCCU